GUGCCGCCUCGACCAUGGCAACCCUGACCUCAAGCCAGCACUCACACCUAAAUCCAGCCACUGAAAGGAGGGAUCAGUGCGGUGAAUCCGGACAAGGACAGGCGACAGCAUCGCCGCUCACGGACCGGCGGCAGGGAUGCUCCGGAGGGGAAGUGUAGAGGUCGGAGGGCAAGCGUCAGCACCAGGGGGUCGCUGAGCAGGCUGGGACUCUGAACAAAGACCCCAUGCCGAGGAGAGAGAGGUGGAAGAGGAGGGGCAGGAGCUUCACAGCAGAUGUUCCAGAGUGUGUGUACAUGGCUGCACUCUCAGUAGGUUGUACUUAGCCUACUGCCCCAUAUCCGCCCCUCCUUUAACAAGGAAUCAUGUUACUGCCUCAAACCUCUAAGGUAUGUGUCCUGGCUGGGGCGCUGGGGCGCACGUGCAGACGGGGCAGCGGUGGGAGAGGAGGUUUACGGUGGCAGAACGAGGCACGCUGAAGACUGGCCAGCCGCAGAGGGACGGUAACGGGAAGGACUGGAACAUCAGAGGACGAGGCGGAGAUUGUCAGGGGCAAGGCGGUCGGUUGGCAACAUCGGCAGUCAAGGGUUUUACUGCAGGAGGCACCAGUGGCGACCUACAUGAUGUGUCCAGUCUGUUCCGUACAUCCGCACACUUGAAAAAUAUCUGGACUGGAUCGGCCUUUGAGGCAGAAUGGUACAGCGGUACAGACGCCAUGCGUGUCUGAGCAUCCAAAUAAGUUUUGAUCCAGAUGGAAAGAUUCAUAAAAUAUGAACGAAUUAAGGUAAAGAGUUUCAGUUUCCAGAAAAAACAUGAAUACUGUAUUCCCGGGGGUGAGUUCGGCCUGUAAACUCACAAACAUGUACAUGCACACACACACACACACACACACCCAUACAUGUACAGAACAAUGAACACUCCAUCUGCGCUCUGUGCCCAUAUGUACAGGACGAUGUCCUGACCAGGUGUAUUGUGGGAAAUUGAGAAUAUGGGACGUCAUAAUUUUUGCUUAUGACACGAACAAACACACAACUCACACACACACACACACACACAAACACAUUCAGCGAACAGCGAUGGCCGAAUGGAGCCGUCACCGCGGUGUUCUCCUCUGACUGAGUGUUCUCGUCAGUCUGUACUAAGUGGAAGUCUCACUCAUCUCCCAUCUCCUCGCGGCACCGGUGGCCCCUCCCCCGCGCACGGGGCCCACACAUCACACGUCAGUUAGUUAUUUUGGACGGGCAGGCGGGGGGAGGAAGUACACAGGAAGUACAUUAGUUAUCAGUCUCUGUCGUCUCCACCUUUUCACAUCCCAUCAGUGUGAGAGGCGGCCGGCCGCUCCCCAUCUCUCUUUCGCCCCCUUUUAAAGUCUCCGCCGCUCCACUUUCGAACGGCCUGCCGAUCUAAAUGACACUUCGCGCUGCGCACACGCGUGCUGACGACUGAAUGAAAUAUUUAAAUAAAACAUGCCAGCACAGGAAAACA
rnacentral:lncRNA from 1 species